rnacentral:rRNA from 1 species
UACGUAGGGGGCGAGCGUUGUCCGGAUUCAUUGGGCGUAAAGCGCGCGUAGGCGGCUUCGUAAGUCGGCCGUGAAAUCUCCAGGCUUAACCUGGAGGGGUCGGGCGAGACUGCGGGGCUCGAGGUGGGCAGAGGGCAGUGGAAUUCCGGGUGUAGUGGUGGAAUGCGUAGAGAUCCGGAGGAACACCAGUGGCGAAGGCGGCUGCCUGGGCCUGGCCUGACGCUGAGGCGCGAAAGCGUGGGGAGCAAACAGG